rnacentral:rRNA from 1 species
CCCUUAGAUGUCCUGGGCCGCACGCGCGUUACACUGAUGCAUUCAACGAGCUUAUAACCUUGGCCGAGAGGCCUGGGCAAUCUUGUUAACGUGCAUCGUGAUAGGGAUAGAUUAUUGAAAUUAUUAAUCUUGAACGAGGAAUUCCUAGUAAACGCAGAUCAUCAAUCUGCAUUGAUUACGUCCCUGCCCUUUGUACACACCGCCCGUCGCUACUACCGAUUGAACGUUUUAGUGAGCUCCUCGGAUUGUCAGCCUGGCGGUUAAUCCUGCCUGGCUAGCGAAAAGACGAGCAAACUUGAGCGUUUAGAGGAAGUAAAAGUCGUAACA